AUUGAACGCUGGCGGAAUGCUUUACACAUGCAAGUCGAACGGUAGAGGGGGCAACCCCUCGAGAGUGGCGAACGGGUGAGUAAUAUAUCGGAACGUGCCCAGUCGUGGGGGAUAACGUAGCGAAAGUUACGCUAAUACCGCAUACGAUCUAAGGAUGAAAGCGGGGGAUCGCAAGACCUCGCGCGAUUGGAGCGGCCGAUAUCAGAUUAGGUAGUUGGUGGGGGAAAGGCUCACCAAGCCAACGAUCUGUAGCUGGUCUGAGAGGACGACCAGCCACACUGGAACUGGGACACGGUCCAGACUCCUACGGGAGGCAGCAGUGGGGAAUUUUGGAAAAUGGACGCAAGUCUGAUCCAGCCAUUCCGCGUGCAGGAUGAAGGCCCUCGGGUUGUAAACUGCUUUUGUACGGAACGAAAAGGUCUCUCUUAAUACGGGGGACUCAUGACGGUACCGUAAGAAUAAGUACCGGCUAACUACGUGCCAGCCGCCGCAGUAA
rnacentral:rRNA from 1 species